rnacentral:sRNA from 1 species
GCCGGGUGCGGUGGCGCACGCCUGUCAUCCCAGCGGCUCGGGAGGCUGAGGCAGGAGGAUGGAAGCCAGCCUCAGCCAUUU